rnacentral:rRNA from 1 species
AUAUCAAUAAGCGGAGGAAAAGAAACCAACAGGGAUUGCCUUAGUAACGGCGAGUGAAGCGGCAACAGCUCAAAUUUGAAAUCUGCCUCUAGGCCGAGUUGUAAUUUGUAGAAGAUGCUUCGGGUGUGGCACCGGUCUAAGUUCCUUGGAACAGGACGUCAUAGAGGGUGAGAAUCCCGUACGUGACUGGCCGCCUUCGCCCGUGUGAAGCUCUUUCGACGAGUCGAGUUGUUUGGGAAUGCAGCUCAAAAUGGGUGGUAUAUUUCAUCUAAAGCUAAAUAUUGGCCAGAGACCGAUAGCGCACAAGUA